AAACCAACAGGGAUUGCCCCAGUAACGGCGAGUGAAGCGGCAAAAGCUCAAAUUUGAAAUCCUGCGGGAAUUGUAAUUUGAAGGUUUCGUGGUCUGAGUCGGCCGCGCCCAAGUCCAUUGGAACAUGGCGCCUGGGAGGGUGAGAGCCCCGUAUGGCGCACGCCGACUCUUUGUACACCGCGGCUCCGACGAGUCGAGUUGUUUGGGAAUGCAGCUCUAAGUGGGUGGUAAAUUCCAUCUAAAGCUAAAUAUUGGCGAGAGACCGAUAGCGAACAAGUACAGUGAUGGAAAGAUGAAAAGCACUUUGAAAAGAGAGUGAAACAGCACGUGAAAUUGUUGAAAGGGAAGGGCUUGCAAGCAGACACGGUUUUACCGGGCCAGCGUCGAAAAGGGGGGAGGAACAAGAACUCGAGAAUGUGGCGCGCACCUUCGGGCGCGCGUGUUAUAGCUCGUGUUAACGCCUCCAUCCCUUUUCGAGGCCUGCGAUUCUAGGACGCUGGCGUAAUGGUUGCAAGCCGC
rnacentral:rRNA from 1 species